AAAGCGUGCGCAGGCGGUUUUGUAAGACUGUCGUGAAAUCCCCGGGCUCAACCUGGGAAUGGCGAUGGUGACUGCAAGGCUAGAGUUUGGCAGAGGGGGGUAGAAUUCCACGUGUAGCAGUGAAAUGCGUAGAUAUGUGGAGGAACACCGAUGGCGAAGGCAGCCCCCUGGGUCAAAACUGACGCUCAUGCACGAAAGCGUGGGGAGCAAACAGGAUUAGAGACCCCUGU
rnacentral:rRNA from 1 species